rnacentral:rRNA from 1 species
CACGCUGUAAACGAUGAGUACUAGGUGUCGGCUGUCAAAGGUCGGUGCCGGCGUUAACACAUUAAGUACUCCGCCUGGGGAGUACGCUCGCAAGAGUGAAACUCAAAGGAAUUGACGGGG